AGUUUGUCUCUCUUGAGCUUGGAGAAAAGCAUCCGUAGUGCCUCUCCGGGGGACACGUAGAGGAGAGAAAAGCGACCAAGAUAAAAGUGGACAGAAGAAUAAGCGAGACUUUUUAUCCAUGAAACAGUCUCCUGCCCUCGCUCCGGAAGAGCGCUGCCGCAGAGCCGGGUCCCCAAAGCCGGUCUUGAGAGCUGAUGACAAUAACAUGGGCAAUGGCUGCUCUCAGAAGCUGGCGACUGCUAACCUCCUCCGGUUCCUAUUGCUGGUCCUGAUUCCAUGUAUCUGUGCUCUUGUUCUCUUGCUGGUGAUCCUGCUUUCCUAUGUUGGAACAUUACAAAAGGUCUAUUUUAAAUCAAAUGGGAGUGAACCUUUGGUCACUGAUGGUGAAAUCCAAGGGUCCGAUGUUAUUCUUACAAAUACAAUUUAUAACCAGAGCACUGUGGUGUCUACUGAACAUCCCGACCACCACGUUCCAGCCUGGACUACGGAUGCUUCUCUCCCAGGGGACCAAAGUCACAGGAAUACAAGUGCCUGCAUGAACAUCACCCACAGCCAGUGUCAGAUGCUGCCCUACCAUACCACGCUGACACCUCUCCUCUCAGUUGUCAGAAACAUGGAAAUGGAGAAGUUCCUCAAGUUUUUCACAUAUCUCCAUCGCCUCAAUUGCUAUCAACAUAUCAUGCUGUUUGGCUGUAGCCUCGCCUUCCCUGAGUGCAUCAUUGAUGGCGAUGACAGUCAUGGACUCCUGCCCUGUAGGUCCUUCUGUGAGGCUGCAAAAGAAGGCUGUGAAUCAGUCCUGGGGAUGGUGAAUUACUCCUGGCCGGAUUUCCUCAGAUGCUCCCAGUUUAGAAACCAAACUGAAAGCAGCAACGUCAGCAGAAUUUGCUUCUCACCUCAGCAGGAAAACGGAAAGCAAUUGCUCUGUGGAGGGGAUGAGAGCUUUCUUUGUGCCAGUGGAAUCUGCGUCCCCAGGAAACUGCAAUGUAAUGGCUACAACGACUGUGACGACUGGAGUGACGAGGCUCAUUGCAACUGCAGUGAGAAUCUGUUUCACUGUCACACAGGCAAGUGCCUUAAUUACAGCCUUGUGUGUGAUGGAUAUGAUGACUGUGGGGAUUUGAGUGAUGAGCAAAACUGUGCCUGUCACAGCCAGGGUCUGGUGGAAUGCAGAAAUGGACAAUGUAUCCCCAGCACGUUUCAAUGUGAUGGCGACGAGGACUGCAAGGAUGGGAGUGAUGAGGAGAACUGCAGUGUCAUUCAGACUCCAUGUCAAGAAGGAGACCAAAGAUGCGUCUACAAUCCCUGCCUUGAUUCAUGUGGUGGUAGCUCUCUCUGUGACCCGAACAACAGUCUGAAUAACUGUAGUCAAUGUGAACCAAUUACAUUGGAACUCUGCAUGAAUUUGCCCUACAACAGUACAAGUUAUCCAAAUUACUUUGGCCACAGGACUCAAAAGGAAGCAUCCAUCAGCUGGGAGUCUUCUCUUUUCCCUGCACUUGUUCAAACCAACUGUUAUAAAUACCUCAUGUUCUUUGCUUGCACCAUUUUGGUACCAAAAUGUGAUGUGAAUACAGGCCAGCGUAUCCCCCCUUGCAGAGCAUUGUGUGAACACUCCAAAGAACGCUGUGAGUCUGUUCUUGGGAUUGUGGGCCUACAGUGGCCUGAAGACACAGAUUGCAGUCAAUUUCCAGAGGAAAAUUCAGACAAUCAAACCUGCCUGAUGCCUGAUGAAUAUGUGGAAGGUUAAUUUUAAAAUUAAUUACAGCAGGGUAUCUAACAUGGAUGAACAUGUUAGCUACCUUUUGAAUUUCUUCUAUCUAUGGCUUCUUGUUUGUUUGUUUUCUAUUUAGUUGCCAAUCAGGCUGCUUAGGUGAGUGAAUUUGUGAACUUGAUUGCAUUGAAGAAUUUGGCACUCAUCUGUUAGAUAUUGCAUUCAUUUUAAAAAUAAAGAAGUCAUUUUCUAUU
rnacentral:sRNA from 1 species